rnacentral:rRNA from 1 species
CGCGUGAGUAACCUGCCUUAGAGAAGGGGAUAGCCUUUGGAAACGAAGAAUAAUACCCUAUGACAUGAUAGCCUCGCAUGAGAUUAUCAUCAAAGAUUUAUCGCUCUAAGAUGGACUUGCGUCUGAUUAGUUAGUUGGUGGGGUAACGGCCCACCAAGACAGCGAUCAGUAGCCUGCUUGAGAGAGUGUACGGCCACAUUGGGACUGAGACACGGCCCAG